rnacentral:rRNA from 1 species
UACGGAGGGUGCAAGCGUUAUCCGGAUUCACUGGGCUUAAAGGGUGCGUAGGCGGGCAGGUAAGUCAGUGGUGAAAUCUCCGAGCUUAACUCGGAAACUGCCGUUGAUACUAUUUGUCUUGAAUAUUGUGGAGGUAAGCGGAAUAUGUCAUGUAGCGGUGAAAUGCUUAGAUAUGACAUAGAACACCAAUUGCGAAGGCAGCUUACUACACAACGAUUGACGCUGAGGCACGAAAGCGUGGGGAUCAAACAGG